CUUCCGGUGUGUGCCGGAAGUGGAGCCGCAUAGUUUCCGGGUGGUGGCGGUCGGCGGCGAUGGCGGGUCUGUCCCGUACCCUCGGUAUCUUCGGCGGCUUCGUGGCCGUGGUGGGGGCGGCGUUUUACCCCAUCUACUUCCGGCCGCUGCUGCUGCCGGAGGAGUACAUCGUGUCCUUUCUGAUCUGUUUUCCAGAGAAAGAACAGUUGAUAAACCGAGCUGGUAUUGUUCAAGAGGAUAUUCAGCCUGCAGGUCAUUGGGUGCAUAUCACUUAGAAAGGCUCCUGACAAGGCAGGCUUGACAUCCAAAUAAUGACUGCUUUGAAGAAGAUGAGAAGUUUCUCUUUGCUUCAGUCCUUUGGAAUCACAGAAGAGAUACAGAUAAAGACACGCGGUUAAACCACAUUGUACAUCCUGUGCUUAUAAAAUUCCAGCAGGGUUGUAUCACCGUACCUACUGCUAGAAUGUGUGAUUUACACCACCAGAUAUAAACUGCAGAGUCUGGAGAUCAAUCUGCUGCUUCUAAUGAAGAUUCAGAUAACUGUGUGGUUCUACUACCUACCAAGCUUUAUAAGGUCACUGGAUUUUAUAAAUAGCUAGGAUUUUACAGGACACACUAUGAGUUAUUUUUUACAGAAAGAUGCUCAGCUGGGAAGGCGACUCUUGUCCCCUUGCAUGUCUCUUUCUAACACGCUUGUGCUAAGCACGUAAGGGACACAGGGUGCUUCUACACAAACGGGUGUAGGUCUGUUGUCUUCUCACCUUUCUUCAAGCCAGUGAGGCAGGAGGCAGUUGCCAAACAAGAAGCCAGCCAGCAUGUUAGCUACUACCGUGCCCAAAGGGAUGAGCUCAGGGCAACCCAGAGCCAAGGCUGAGCUGGGAAAAGUUUGGUCCAGACUGGUCAAACAAGCUGUUGAAAUCUUCAACCCAGUUAUCGCGCCUUGCAUCCAGCACUCCCUGCUCCCAUCUGCCCUUCCGCUCCGGAGCCGGGCUGCUCGUGCUGCGCUGGCUGGCAGCUUCUUCAGUACCAUCCACGAGACAAAACUCUGGGCCAAAAGACCUCCUCCCCCUCCACAUAGAGGGCCUGAUCCCUAAUGACUCCAGGGCACUUGCUGGCUCCCUGGUCUUUUCUCCUCUUUACACCCGAAGUAAGAUCCUGAGAGGACUGGGGAACCGUAAGAAUUCCCAGAUGAAGCUGCUGGCAUCCACUCAGCACGGACGCAUGGACCUGGCUCUGCCCACACCUGCAUGCCUCGGUGAAUCCAAAGAAAUAAGAGGUGGUCUCGUCCCCCAGUUUACAAGUGAGAGUAAACUGGAUUUCCUUCUUUAACAGCCUUCCAUUUUCGAAGACGGCUAAUGAUUCUUAGCACCCAGCUGGAGUCACCCGUCAGCGUCUGCUUGGAAGAAAAGCAAAGCCCAGCGCUUGCUGAAGUCAUGUCCUUCACAGGUGCCUCCAAGCCUGGCUUCUCCAAAUUGUCUCUGAAGUGACGGGCCUGAUUCAGAACCCUUCCACCAACGUCAGCAGAGCUUAAAUCAAAAAGUCAAACUACCGAUUUGCAUAGCAAACACAAAAUUUUAAAUGGUGCAAACCUUGGAUUUAAAUUUGUUUUUCUGCCUCAGCUCUGGAAGCAUCUACAUUCAUUACAGACCAGAAAGCGGGGCCUAGUUCCCCAAGGCGCUACAUGCUUUCAGUUUCCAAUAAAGUCAACAGGAUUUGCUCACACUCUACUAUGUGAAAUACAAACUUUUAGCAGCAAGAAGAAAAUUCAAUGCAUGAAUGAUAUUAAAAAACCCUCUGUGGUGUUAUUAUCUUUCCUUCCACCAGCUACUCACAUAAUUUCAGGCUAUUGUUUUUGAUUUGAAUAGUAUUCCUGGCCUUUUGAACUCCAGAUUGUUUAUAAUCCAAAAUAAGAAAAACCCAAUGGUUAUUUGUUUUAUAAUGUACCUCUGUCAGUGAUGGAAAGGAUUACAAUAGUUUCUGUAAUUAUUAAUUCUUUGAAAUAAUAUACCUGCUCCAGUAUCCAAUUAACCUGGUUAUUAAUCAAAAUGCCUUCUUUGUAAAAUAUUAAAAGAGUCUAGACACUGCA